rnacentral:pre_miRNA from 1 species
CGUGCACCAGUGGGGUCCCUCGGCCUGGCUUGCUCCCUCUCGCAACUCAGGACCCCUCGGGGGAUGUCGGAGAGCCGGUUUCAGCCUGUAUGCAGGCCAGGCCGAGGGACCCCACUGAUGCACG